rnacentral:lncRNA from 1 species
AGCCAACUUCUAGCGUGCCCCAAAUGUAAAAUGCCAAAUCUCCUAUGGGCUCCUAGAGUCUCCUAUACCCCUAUUUCAUAAUUCUUUUUUUAAUCAAAAUCUAAACUCCCAAAUCAAAUCCUUCCCGGUUAUCAAAACUAAACCCUAACCCCCCCCCCUAUGGAUUAGUGAACCCAUGGGUAAAUAUUUAAAUUCUAUACUUUUCAAAUUC